GAGACCCGUGUAUGUUGACUGGAAAGCUGAGUUUAACUUUGACCAAUUUUCAGCACAUAGAAAACAAACUGUAUAACGCAGACACGGCUAAACAUUCUGUAGCCAUGUUCCUGGAAACUAUCUUAACUUGACCUUUAGUUCUAGUAUAGAGAUGUAUUAACUUCGAUUCGGCUGGAUUUUAUCAGUUACCCCACUCACUAGAGAUAUGCAUGCAGACACUUCGAAGUAGUAUAGUGUGUUGAAAUUCUUAGUACCCGGAAUAGGUCUGUGACGUGCUAUAGUUAGUAUAGGUGCAUCGGAAGCAAUCUUUCAAUUUCCAAGAUCAGGAAAUUGAAAUGCAGUGGCGAAGCUGAGGGCAUUUGACUAACACCCGCACAUGCCAGUUGGUGGGGGCAUGCACCACGCAGAGUGGAACAUUCUUAAUACUUUUUCAUUUCGAAAUUUGUAUUUCUCGAAAUUUAAUUUUAUUUCGCCAUAUAUAUUUCAACUUCACUGAAAAUUUCCCUCAAUAUAGAAGAAAGAGGAGAAUAUUGUAUGUAUGCAUUUUAAUACCCUUCUGUAUAAAUAUGAUCUUUCAUUUGGAAUUGCGUAAGUUCAACUGUAGUGUACUAUUGUAUAGUAUAGUGUCUGCAAGUACCUUGUAAAUCUGAAGCAGAAACCUAUAAAGAGAUUUCAUAGAUUUAGAUAUUUGGUAUAUCUGUAAACCUGUAAUUAUAUAAGUACUCAUGAA